GUUUCUAUAGUUGAAAUACAAUAGCGGUUUUUCGGGUCGCGGGUCCCGUUUGGGUGGAAACU
rnacentral:tRNA from 1 species